CCUACGGGGGGCAGCAGUGAGGAAUAUUGGUCAAUGGACGAGAGUCUGAACCAGCCAAGUAGCGUGAAGGAUGACUGCCCUAUGGGUUGUAAACUUCUUUUAUAUGGGAAUAAAAUGUUCCACGUGUGGGAUUUUGUAUGUACCAUAUGAAUAAGGAUCGGCUAACUCCGUUCCAGCAGCCGCGGUAAUACGGAGGAUCCGAGCGUUAUCCGGAUUUAUUGGGGUUAAAGGGAGCGUAGGUGGAUUGUUAAGUCAGUUGUGAAAGUUUGCGGCUCAACCGUAAAAUUGCAGUUGAAACUGGCAGUCUUGAGUACAGUAGAGGUGGGCGGAAUUCGUGGUGUAGCGGUGAAAUGCUUAGAUAUCACGAAGAACUCCGAUUGCGAAGGCAGUUCACUGGACUGCAACUGACACUGAGGCUCGAAAGUGUGGGUAUCAAACAGGAUUAGAUACCCGAGUAGUC
rnacentral:rRNA from 1 species